GAUGAGCGCUGGCGGCGUGCCUAAUACAUGCAAGUCGAGCGAAUGGAUUAAGAGCUUGCUCUUAUGAAGUUAGCGGCGGACGGGUGAGUAACACGUGGGUAACCUGCCCAUAAGACUGGGAUAACUCCGGGAAACCGGGGCUAAUACCGGAUAACAUUUUGAACCGCAUGGUUCGAAAUUGAAAGGCGGCUUCGGCUGUCACUUAUGGAUGGACCCGCGUCGCAUUAGCUAGUUGGUGAGGUAACGGCUCACCAAGGCAACGAUGCGUAGCCGACCUGAGAGGGUGAUGGGCCACACUGGGACUGAGACACGGCCCAGGCUCCUACGGGAGGCAGCAGUAGGGGAUCUUCCGCAAUGGACGAAAGUCUGAUGGAGCAACGCCGCGUGAGUGAUGAAGGCUUUCGGGUCGUAAAACUCUGUUGUUAGGGAAGAACAAGUGCUAGUUGAAUAAGCUGGCACCUUGACGGUACCUAACCGGAAAGCCACGGCUAACUACGUGCCAGCCGCCGCAGUAA
rnacentral:rRNA from 1 species